GAUGAACGCUUGCGGCGUGCCUAAUACAUGCAAGUCGAGCGAACAGAUAAGGAGCUUGCUCCUUUGACGUUAGCGGCGGACGGGUGAGUAACACGUGGGUAACCUACCUAUAAGACUGGGAUAACUUCGGGAAACCGGAGCUAAUACCGGAUAAUAUUUCGAACCGCAUGGUUCGAUAGUGAAAGGUGGUUUUGCUAUCACUUAUAGAUGGACCCGCGCCGUAUUAGCUAGUUGGUAAGGUAACGGCUUACCAAGGCGACGAUACGUAGCCGACCUGAGAGGGUGAUCGGCCACACUGGAACUGAGACACGGUCCAGACUCCUACGGGAGGCAGCAGUAGGGAAUCUUCCGCAAUGGGCGAAAGCCUGACGGAGCAACGCCGCGUGAGUGAUGAAGGUCUUCGGAUCGUAAAACUCUGUUAUUAGGGAAGAACAUACGUGUAAGUAACUGUGCACGUCUUGACGGUACCUAAUCAGAAAGCCACGGCUAACUACGUGCCAGCAGCCGCGGUAAUACGUAGGUGGCAAGCGUUAUCCGGAAUUAUUGGGCGUAAAGCGCGCGUAGGCGGUUUUUUAAGUCUGAUGUGAAAGCCCACGGCUCAACCGUGGAGGGUCAUUGGAAACUGGAAAACUUGAGUGCAGAAGGGGAAAGUGGAAUUCCAUGUGUAGCGGUGAAAUGCGCAGAGAUAUGGAGGAACACCAGUGGCGAAGGCGACUUUCUGGUCUGUAACUGACGCUGAUGUGCGAAAGCGUGGGGAUCAAACAGGAUUAGAUACCCUGGUAGUCCACGCCGUAAACGAUGAGUGCUAAGUGUUAGGGGGUUUCCGCCCCUUAGUGCUGCAGCUAACGCAUUAAGCACUCCGCCUGGGGAGUACGACCGCAAGGUUGAAUCUCAAAGGAAUUGACGGGGACCCGCACAAGCGGUGGAGCAUGUGGUUUAAUUCGAAGCAACGCGAAGAACCUUACCAAAUCUUGACAUCCUUUGACAACUCUAGAGAUAGAGCUUCCCCCUUCGGGGGACAAAGUGACAGGUGGUGCAUGGUUGUCGUCAGCUCGCGUCGUGAGAUGUUGGGUUAAGUCCCGCAACGAGCGCAACCCUUAAGCUUAGUUGCCAUCAUUAAGUUGGGCACUCUAAGUUGACUGCCGGUGACAAACCGGAGGAAGGUGGGGAUGACGUCAAAUCAUCAUGCCCCUUAUGAUUUGGGCUACACACGUGCUACAAUGGACAAUACAAAGGGCAGCGAAACCGCGAGGUCAAGCAAAUCCCAUAAAGUUGUUCUCAGUUCGGAUUGUAGUCUGCAACUCGACUACAUGAAGCUGGAAUCGCUAGUAAUCGUAGAUCAGCAUGCUACGGUGAAUACGUUCCCGGGUCU
rnacentral:rRNA from 1 species